rfam:Microgenomates (Daviesbacteria) bacterium GW2011_GWA2_40_9 TT29_C0001, whole genome shotgun sequence.
GCCUCAGUUGCCAACGUGGUCAAGGCGGCGGUCUGAAGAACCGUUUAUGUGGGUCCGAUUCCUACCUGAGGCA